rnacentral:hammerhead_ribozyme from 1 species
UUCCAUCUGAUGAGUCUAAAAUAGGACUAAACGCUCGUCUUAGAU